CUCUCCUUCGCAUACCGCCACCGCCCGGCCUGCACCGACCGUCACCACGCAUCCCUGCGUGUUCGACUUGACCUCCGGCUCCAUCUGGAACACCAAUGGUCGGAUGAGGCUACCCUGCCCAUCUCCCUCGCCAAACAAAAUCAGGCGGCAGAGGGAAACCCUAGAGCGGCCGGCGGCCGGCGGCCGGGCGGCUAGAUUGAGGUCAACCAUGGUUGCCGAUGGUUGCCGCAGCCGGUGGGAUCAAGGGCCGCUGCCAUGCCUAGAAAGCCAGCGAAUUUCAGAGGAAGGGGAUUUGAAGUAGAUGUCCGUUUCUAUGAAGCCAAUGGCUUUCACAGGUUAAAGAGUUGGAGCGGCGGGAGCAUCUUAGAGAGGGGAUGGAGAUGGAGAGAACAGGAGCACACCGCGGCUUCGUUACAAGUUGACCGCAUGUUUAUGUCCGUAUUGCGUUGCAUCCGCUGUUGGUACGGUUCGUCCCUCGAAUUGUUGGAGGGCUUGCACGGCUGGCUGUCACCAAGAGCUCUACAGGUCCGGCAUGGCGUGCAGUGUGACCUUUGGUGUUGGUGAGCAUGGUUGUGAGCAUGUGCAGCUUGUGUUACUCAUCCAACGAUUACAUGAACUGGUGCCUCAUUGCUUAAGCCUUCCCCUCCUCGCGCCACACAACUUUGGUGUGGUAAGUUAAUCAGUUGUUUGCUUGUUGACAUAUAAUGCGCAUGCUGCAUAGCAGGUUGUGUAACAAAGGUUCUUUAAUGUCAGGUGAUUCUUUUGUCAGGUUAUUGAAUUUAUUGACUGAGGAUGCAAGUAAUUCUAACGGAAUCCGCAUUCCAAUAAAAAUCAAGUUGUACAAAGUAAUCUCCUAUGUAUGAUUGUUUUUCCUGAAAAUUGCACUUACGUAGCACACCAAAGGAAGACAAGAGAUUGCGGAGAUUAUUUUUUCCUCUUCAUGAACGAGACAAUUACCUUAUUUUAUUUAAUCUAUAUGCACAUACAAAAUUAUGAAUUAGCAUCUCCAUAUUUCAUCAAUUUCUAGAGCUAUCAAGCUAUAUAUUCAUUUACGUUUUGUAUAAGAUUUAUGUAUUGCAACACAGCUUGGCAGUUGGCAGGAUGCUGCAAAGGAUUUUUUUUACUAUGGCGAGUGUUUGAUUCAGUUAACCAAGAGUGUUUGAGUCAGUUUGAUUUGAGCUAGAUCUCUAUAUAUCAAUAAACUUUAGAGAAAGUAGUGCUCACAACUGCAGUCCUACAUGUAUUAAUUUUGCAUGUCCUUUUAUGUGAGAACCGGUUAAGACAGGUCAACCUCAACAAAUUUUGCAUGACUACUAAUCAGAAAGAAACAGUGGGAGUUGUCACGACUACAACUUUAUGUUCUAACAAGAGGAUAUAAUCAGGCUGCAGUUACUUACUAAAGCUUGGCUUGUGCCUAACGAUAUGCUAUACUAGUGAUUUAGUGCUCAUGUUUCUGUGUUGGGUUGGUUUGAUCUGUCUUUCUAUGGAGGUGAUCCAGGUAGAAAAUAUUUGGUCUUCCAUCCUGUAAGAUUGUUUGUCACGCUGUUGAACUUUGUUAUUGCAUAUUUUCUGCUACAAAAAUAUGGUUUAUGCUCUGGAGAUGAUGCAAUUAGAAGAUAAUUGAUUGUGCGUGCUAUUUGGUUGUGUCAUACUGCCCAAUUGCUUAGUACUUUGGGCCGCUGCAUAUUUUUCUGCUAUCCAGGGUUUCUUUUGGCAGGUUUUACGACUUUUUUUCUUCUAUUGGUUGCACCUGCAAAGCUUUGUUGCAUAGAUAUACUUGCUUUUCCAUGUCAUUCUACUAUGUAUUGCAUUGCCUGAUUGCUUACUAUGCUAGGUUUUCGCGUAUUUUUCUUCUAUCCAUCUUAUACUUUGACUUGCCCGACUCGGUGCCACACUUUGUGUCCACGUGCUGCUUUGCCUUUCUACCAGUGGUCACAAUCCGGUGAUCCAAUGACUAUCUCGCGGAUGGUUGGGCGAGGUACACAUAAAAAAUCCUCUUUUUUUGACCCAAAGAAAAGAUCAUUUCUAUGGAGCUACAGAAGCAGGUGCCCAUCUAUGAGAUGGGCUCGCUGCCGCAAUUAUUUAUAUGUUUACCGGUUAGAUUGCAGGCAUUCACCAAGUCCAGAAGUGUAAGUAGGAUUUCCUGUAUCCAAGUCCUGGUAUGUAAGUAGUGAUUCCUGUCGUUAGCACACAUAUAUAGAGAUGCUGAAUGUAUUUCUGAAUUUUAGACCUCCAUGUAUUUCUUACUGUUGGUUCCUUUGGAAAUGUGAGACCUGGUUUGGGUCAAAGAGAACAAUGGUUAUGGGCUUCCCAAAUCUCAAUUCUUAAUUUCUCUCAAGAAAGUAGUCGUAAGUGCAAUGAGGAAUGCAGGAUUGGCUAGAGCCAUUUUUUGUUUGGCAACAUAUCAUUUUCAUGGCAAAAGAAAAAAGUUCCCCUCGGUGGAUUGCGCAAUAUUAACAUAACCAGUCCUUCUCUCUUACCUGGUUCAUUUCUCUGCUUCUCUGUUCUGCUAAUCAGUUCCCUUCUGUCUACGGUUCAUUCUUCGUCCAUGGUUGCAGCAUUCGGUUUGGAUUUCAUCCGCCAACUCAGGUUCUGCUAGGAUCUGGGAUAGCUGUCUUGAGUGGGUGCGCUGCAAAUCUUUCACAGAAGGUGAAGGUGUUGACAACUGGCGGGAAGGGUCAUGAGGCAACGGCUUGCAUGAGGUACAAGGUCUCUUAGUCGAUGUGGUUUUGUUUGGUGACAUUGCGAAGUAGUUAAUUGGAAAGCUGACUGGUGUGCUUGUGACUAAGUUCUUGAUGAGAAAUGUUACCGUUCUACCCAAGAUACCAAGGCUGGUUGGAAGGAGAUAUGUUACUGAGAUGGCUAUUUUGCGAUUUGAGAAACCAUAUGUUUCUAGGUCACAUGGGUUCUAUUCUGAACGAGGGUCCUUCUAUGUACUUUGUGUUGGAGGGGUCCUCCUCCAGUGCAACCCAAAUAGAGCAUCAUGCUUCUGCACACACUGACGCCUGUAGGUGGUUUGGCUCGUGUGAUCAGUGUAGCUAUGGAGUUGUGGAGCUGUUGAAGAUGGCGAUGCAUUUAGUUGCACUCAAAUUGUGCCAGUCCUAGGAAUUGCUUUGUGUAUGCUGGCCAUCUUCUCAUUUGA